rnacentral:rRNA from 1 species
UACGUAGGGGGCAAGCGUUAUCCGGAUUUACUGGGUGUAAAGGGAGCGUAGACGGCAGAGCAAGUCUGAAGUGAAAGCCCGCGGCCCAACUGCGGGACUGCUUUGGAAACUGCCCGGCUAGAGUGCUGGAGAGGUAAGCGGAAUUCCUAGUGUAGCGGUGAUAUGCGUAGAUAUUAGGAGGAACACCAGUGGCGAAGGCGGCUUACUGGACAGUAACUGACGUUGAGGCUCGAAAGCGUGGGGAGCAAACAGG